GUGCAGCCGCCGCGGUAAUACGAAGGUCCCAAGCGUUGUUCGGAAUCACUGGGCGUAAAGGGAGAGUAGGCGGUUUGGAAAGUCAGGUGUGAAAUCCCAGAGCUCAACUCUGGAACUGCACCCGAUACUCCCAAACUAGAGUAACGGAGAGGUAGUAGGAAUUUUCGGUGUAGCAGUGAAAUGCGUGGAUAUCGAAAGGAAGACCAAUGGCGAAAGCAUGCUACUGGACGUUUACUGACGCUGAGUCUCGAAGGCCAGGGGAGCGAAAGGGAUUAGAUA
rnacentral:rRNA from 1 species